rfam:Sphaerobolus stellatus SS14 unplaced genomic scaffold SPHSTscaffold_16, whole genome shotgun sequence.
ACACGUGUGGUGAAACGGUAUCAUGCUUGCCUUCCAUUAGUGUGUCAACAAGCGGCCGGGGUUCAACUCCCCGCACGUGUA